AAACUAACAAGGAUUCCCCUAGUAACGGCGAGUGAAGCGGGAUGAGCUCAAAUUUGUAAUCUGGCGUGCUACGUGCGUCCGAGUUGUAAUCUAUAGAGGCGUUUUCUGUGCCGGUCCGUGUCCAAGUCCCUUGGAACAGGGUAUCAAAGAGGGUGACAAUCCCGUACUUGACAUGACCACCGGUGCUCUGUGAUACGUUUUCUACGAGUCGAGUUGUUUGGGAAUGCAGCUCAAAAUGGGUGGUAAAUUCCAUCUAAAGCUAAAUAUUGGCGAGAGACCGAUAGCGAACAAGUACCGUGAGGGAAAGAUGAAAAGCACUUUGGAAAGAGAGUUAAACAGUACGUGAAAUUGUUGAAAGGGAAACGAUUGGAGUCAGUCGUGUUGAGUUGGCUCAGCUGGUUCUGCCAGUGUAUUCCAUCUCAGCGGGUCAACAUCAGUUUGGACCGGCGGAAAAAGGUAAUGGGAAGGUGGCACCUCGGUGCGUUAUAGCCCGUUAUCACAUACGUCGGUCCCGACUGAGGAACGCAGCUCGCCUCUAGGUUAGCCUUUGGCAUAUUCGAGCUUAGGAUGUUGACGUAAUGGCUCUAAACGAC
rnacentral:rRNA from 1 species